GCAAGUGAGAUGAGUUGGUUAAGGAAGUUUGUAUGAAAUGAAAAGGUCACGGGUUCAACUCCCGUGAAUUGCA